GAAAAACUCCGGUGGUACAAGAUGGACCCGCGUCUGAUUAGCUGGUUGGUGAGGUAACGGCCCACCAAGGCAACGAUCAGUAGCCGGCCUGAGAGGGUGAACGGCCACAUUGGGACUGAGACACGGCCCAAACUCCUACGGGAGGCAGCAGUGGGGAAUAUUGCACAAUGGGGGAAACCCUGAUGCAGCAACGCCGCGUGAGUGAAGAAGUAUUUCGGUAUGUAAAGCUCUAUCAGCAGGAAAGAAAAUGACGGUACCUGACUAAGAAGCCCCGGCUAACUACGUGCCAGCAGCCGCGGUAAUACGUAGGGGGCAAGCGUUAUCCGGAUUUACUGGGUGUAAAGGGAGCGUAGACGGUUUUGCAAGCCUGAAGUGAAAGCCCGGGGCUUAACCCCGGGACUGCUUUGGAAACUGUAGAACUAGAGUGCAGGAGAGGUAAGUGGAAUUCCUAGUGUAGCGGUGAAAUGCGUAGAUAUUAGGAGGAACACCAGUGGCGAAGGCGGCUUACUGGACUGUAACUGACGUUGAGGCUCGAAAGCGUGGGGAGCAAACAGGAUUAGAUACCCUGGUAGUCCACGCCGUAAACGAUGAUUACUAGGUGUUGGUGGGUACGACCCAUCGGUGCC
rnacentral:rRNA from 1 species